CGCGGGGUGGAGCAGUCUGGUAGCUCGUCGGGCUCAUAACCCGAAGGUCGCAGGUUCAAAUCCUGCUCCCGCAA
rnacentral:tRNA from 5 species